AUUGAACGCUGGCGGCAGGCCUAACACAUGCAAGUCGAGCGGAUGAAGGGAGCUUGCUCCUGGAUUCAGCGGCGGACGGGUGAGUAAUGCCUAGGAAUCUGCCUGGUAGUGGGGGAUAACGUCCGGAAACGGGCGCUAAUACCGCAUACGUCCUGCGGGAGAAAGUGGGGGAUCUUCAGACCUUGCGCUAUCAGAUGAGCCUAUGUCGGAUUAGCUAGUUGGUGGGGUAAAGGCCUACCAAGGCGACGAUCCGUAGCUGGUCUGAGAGGACGAACAGUCACACUGGAACUGAGACACGGCCCAGACUCCUACGGGAGGCAGCAGUGGGGAAUUUUGGACAAUGGGCGAAAGCCUGAUCCAACCAUGCCGCGUGUGUGAAGAAGGUCUUCGGAUUGUAAAGCACUUUAAGUUGGGAGGAAGGGCAGUAAGUUAAUACCUUGCGGUUUUGACGUUACCAACAGAAUAAGCACCGGCUAACUUCGUG
rnacentral:rRNA from 1 species